GUUGGGGACUGGGAAGAUAGAUAAACACCCUUAAACUCAUAGCAUUCCAACCAGAUUCUCCAAAGAAAUUCUCACUACCUAUCUUCCUUCUUGAUUAUUCUUUAUCCCUUUAUAUAACCAGGAGGUGGGUGCAGGGCUAGAGGUUUCAGAAGGAGUUUGAUGUCUCUUGGAUGUGGACAGAUUAUCUGGGACUUCUCUUUGGCGUGUGAGAACAUCUAACCCCCAUUCCUGUUUGGAAUCUCCAUCCAAAACCUCAAGGAUUUUGUUGAAGAAAGGGAAAAUCGUAUUGUCAGACUCAAAAAUGUUGCCGUCUUAAUUCCACAUUUAAUGUGGUUUUGAUGUAAGACUUUGGUGGCUCUCCAUUAUACACAGAAUACAGCUCAAGAACCUUAGCAGGACACAGGAGACUUUCCUGAUGUGGCUACAGUGAGUGUGAUUGAACCCCAGUGUUCCAGGGCCAGUCUCUCCAUUCCUCACCUUCCUGAUUUUGUCAGAACGAAUAGCUCCCUGGUGGGCAAGGAAGAGGAGAGUACGACUGAAGAAUGAGUGUUGGUGGUCCAAAGAAGACAGGAUUCCUUUAAGAGGGACUCAGGAGGAGUCGGAGAGAGAGAGAGGGCCAUGUGUUGACAGAAGCAAAAAGAGAAAAUGCUACGUAAUGCCAGACCAGGAGCCAAUGAAUGAAGAGAGACUUUAGAAGCUGGGAAAAGCAAGGGAAUGAGUUAUUCCCUACUGCCUCCAGAAAAAAGCAAUCCUACCAACACUUUGAGUUUAGCCCAGUAAGAAUCAUUUCAGAUUUUUGAUCUCCAGAACUGUAAGAGGAUAAUGUGUGCUGUUUUAAGCCAGGAAAUUUGUAGUAAUUUGAUACAGCAGCAGUAGGAAACUAAUAAGUGGUCUAAGCAACUGAAGGAUACAGGGGAUGGAAGACAGGAAGGAG
rnacentral:lncRNA from 1 species